CGGUGGAGCAUGUGGUUCAAUUCGACGCAACGCGAAGAACCUUACCUGGUUGGAACCCCCCGGAAUCCUCCAGAGAUGAGGUCCCGGCCGGUCCAGGUGUGACGAGCGCAACCCCUGUCGUUAGUUGCUAACGGGAUGUCAAGUCUCAUGGCCCUUAUGCCCAGGCCACAUACAUGGGCGGUACAAGCGUCGCUAACCCGCGAGGGGGAGCCUCGCAAAAAACCGUCCUCAGUUCAGAUUGCAGUGCAACUCGACUGCAUGAAGUCGGAAUCGCUAGUAAUCCUAAUCAGCAGGUAGGGGUGAAUACGUUCCCGGGCCUUGUACACACCGCCGUCACACCAUGGGAGUCAGUUGCUCCAGAAACGGCUGCGCUAACCCGCAAGGGGGGCAGGUCUUUAAGAGUGACUGGUGACUGGGGUGAAGUCGUACAAGGU
rnacentral:rRNA from 1 species